rnacentral:lncRNA from 1 species
CGACUGUCAUACAAGUGGGUGGUUUACCGCUAUAAAACUAGGUUAAAUCCAACAUUUUAAUAAAACACCUGUACCAAGUCAGGAGUAUAACACUUCGUGUUCAUUCGUUUGAUGUGUUUGAGCGUUUGCUUUUGACAUUUAGUAAAUGACUUUCCGUUUUCAAUUUUCCCCCCGUGUUCAGGUUUUUUUUUGAGAUUUUACUUUAUACAAUAGCAAUUUUUAUGGCCUUUUAUAGCUUGCUGUUCUGUGUGAGUCAAGACUCCGCGUUGAAGACCGUACUUUGAUCUUGAAUGGUUUGUAAAAAUGAUUGCAAAAAAUGGACCUUCGAUGGAGAGUUGUCACGUCGGCACUCAUACUACAUCUUCUUAUAUUUAUGUAUUAGAUACAUUGAACAGAAUAUCAUAACACUUAGAAAUUUUCUGAAUUAGAUUUAUUAAAUAGUAUUGAAAAAAAUAAAAAAUCACAAAAAAAACUGAACUCCGGGGAAAAUUCAAAAAGGAAAGUCCGUAAUCAAAUAGCGA